GACGAACCGUGCGAACGUUAUUCGGAAUCACUGGGCUUAAAGGGUGCGUAGGCGGGCUGUCAAGUCUGGGGUGAAAUCCCGCGGCUCAACCGUGGAACUGCCUUAGAUACUGAUGGCCUCGAGGAAGGUAGGGGCAUGCGGAACUGUAGGUGGAGCGGUGAAAUGCGCAGAUAUCAGGAGGAACACCGGUGGCGAAGGCGGGUCUCUGGGCCGAUACUGACGCUGAGGAGCGAAAGCGUGGGGAGCGAACAGG
rnacentral:rRNA from 1 species